UUAAAGUUGUGCAGUAAAAAGCUCGUAGUGAAACUUGGGUGUGUAGGGGCGGUCUCUUUUAGAGUACUACCCUGAAACAUCUUUCUUUGGUGUAAACUCUUUAUUCACUUAAGGAGUGUAAACCAAACAUUUACUUUGAAAAAAUUAGAGUGUUCAAAGCAGGCCUUUGCUCGAAUAUAUUAGCAUGGAAUAAUAGAAUAGGACGUAUGGUUCUAUUUUGUUGGUUUCUAGGACCGUCGUAAUGAUUAAUAGGGACGGUCGGGGGCAUCAGUAUUCAGUUGUCAGAGGUGAAAUUCUUGGAUUUACUGAAGACUAACUACUGCGAAAGCAUUUGCCAAGGACGUUUUCAUUAAUCAAGAACGAAAGUUAGGGGAUCGAAGACGAUCAGAUACCGUCGUAGUCUUAACCGUAAACUAUGCCGACUAGGGAUCGGAGGGCGUUAUAAUAACCUCUCCGGCACCUUACGAGAAAUCAAAGUUUUUGGGUUCUGGGGGGAGUAUGGUUGCAAGGCUGAAACUUAAAGGAAUUGACGGAAGGGCACCACCAGGAGUGGAGCCUGCGGCUUAAUUUGACUCAACACGGGGAAACUCACCAGGUCCAGACACAAUAAGGAUUGACAGAUUGAGAGCUCUUUCAUGAUUUUGUGGGUGGUGGUGCAUGGCCGUUCUUAGUUGGUGGAGUGAUUUGUCUGCUUAAUUGCGAUAACGAACGAGACCUUAACCUGCUAAAUAGCUGUAACAAUAGAUUAUUGUUUUGACAGCUUCUUAGAGGGACUAUCGAUUUUCAAGUCGAUGGAAGUUUGAGGCAAUAACAGGUCUGUGAUGCCCUUAGACGUUCUGGGCCGCACGCGCGCUACACUGACGGAGCCAGCGAGUCUAACCUGUGCCGAGAGGUAUGGGUAAUCUUGUGAAACUCCGUCGUGCUGGGGAUAGAGCAUUGCAAUUAUUGCUCUUCAACGAGGAAUUCCUAGUAAGCGCAAGUCAUCAGCUUGCGUUGAUUACGUCCCUGCCCUUUGUACACACCGCCCGUCGCUACUACCGAUUGAAUGGCUUAGUGAGGCUUCCGGAUUGAUUAACUGGAGAGGGCAACUUUUCUGGUUGAACGAGAAGCUAGUCAAACU
rnacentral:rRNA from 1 species